CUGAAUGUUGGCUUGCCAAUUGGUAUUGUAUUGUAGACUUGAGAGUACUGUAUGAAGUCUAUUUGUGCCAAUGGAUUGCCACAUUUUUAUGUUAGUUUUAAGCCAUUUGAAUGAAAUGACUACAAAAUCUCUAUGACAAUCUACGACUAAUCAUUUUGUGCAAAUAAAAAUCAGUACAUGCUUCUCUAUAUAUCUGAAAUACAAUUAAGCAAAAUUUGUUCUUAUAUGUUGGUCUGCCAAUUGGUAUUGGGUACCAUGCAUUAAUGUUUUUCAAAUGCUUAAUCCAAGUGCCACUUCUGUACUCAAUAAGGUGAACUUUUGUUUAAAUAACUAAAUGUUGGUUUGCCGAAGUUUUAUUCUGAUCGAAUUCUGGUACUUACAUUGUAUGUUUACCAACAUUACAUAUGGCCAGGCAAUCAUUUGGGCUAUUUAUGUAGCAAUUCAUCAGACUCAGCAAUCGAGUAAACGCAGUUAAAGAGUAAGGUAUGUAUAUAUUUUUGGCAAUUUAAUUCCUUCUUCCACAUUGUAUGAUGUCAAGUUUCGGACAUAGUUAUAUAUAUGAUUUACUGUUGUAGGUUGUAGUGUUGGCACGAAGAAUCGUAAUACGAAUUUAAUGACUAUCGUGCCUUACUGUCAAGAUGAAUAACGGCCGACUCAGAUAUUCUUUGAAUCCUGAAGAUUUUCUUGGAGACAGGUCAAAAAGCAGAUCCAAAAGAAUUAAAGAAGACACGAGAUAUUAAAAAGAAGACACGAGGCAAAGGAUAAUAACAAAGCUACAUCUCCUUUCUAAAUUGAAAGCGCACUCCAUCUAAGACACCCGUGGCCAUAUCACCUGAUUUUCACACUGCGGAGAAGCCCACUGGGCAAUCUGCUGUCACUCAACUACGAUACACACCAGCUGCGGAAGGUGAUGUUUUUAAGUUCAAUGGUUUGAGUUUAUGAAACAAAUGGUUGCCCAGUUGCUUGUGCUGUUUGCAACACAAGCAUAUAGAGCUAAAAUCAUCAACCACCGGAGAAAGCGAUUUUCUGAGACAUCACCAUCAGAAGAGACUAACUGGAAAAACCAAACUCUUAAAAAGGCUGCAAGCGAAGAGAACGUACCUCAAUAUGAGGUUGCUUGCUAUUAUGAAAGCGAGGUGCACUUGGUGUGUAUACAUCAUCCAGUGAAUCCAAGCUUGCUUCCCUUCACAUAUGCACAAGAAGUGUACACAAAAAUCUAGCAAUCAAGGAACAUUUGACAAUCACAAUUAGACUAAGCAAGGAAGAUGUACCUGCACUGUAGCUAAAACACUAGAACAUAACUGCAUACUGUACCUGUCCCAUAGUUGAUUGACUUGAUUCUGUCAGAGCUAAACCUGCAUGCAUUUUGAUAAUAGUUAGACGAAAAAAAUAUUAUUUACAUAGCAUUCAUUUGAGUUACAGAAGCUAUGCAAAUCCAUGUUGGUUGCCUCAACGAUCAGGAAAUUUUCCAGUACUGCAGCCCCAUGGAAUGCAUUGUUAUAUAUAUGUUCUUUUUCAUGCCACGAAACUGCUGUUCAGAUAAACAACAAUGCAUCUUGUCAGAAAUGAGAAAAAAGAUUAGCUAGAGCAUCCUGAAUUACAUUUAAGAAUGUUCAGACCAAGCAAGACUAAUCAAAUAUGCCUUAUUGGUAUGGCAUUAUAUAGAGAUAUUAUGUAGUCACUGAAUAAACUACAAAUAAGUUCCAACUUAAGACUGCAAUUGUACCAGUGUAAAAGAGCAGUUUCCACAGACUAUAGAAUUGCAUGAGCAAUGGAUUACAUCAAAACAUUUCUGAUUAUUAGAUCACGCUUACGCACAAUA